CGUAGGGUGCAGGCGUUAAUCGGAAUUACUGGGCGUAAAGCGUGCGCAGGCGGCUCCUUAAGUCGGAUGUGAAAUCCCCGGGCUUAACCUGGGAACUGCGUUUGAAACUGGGGAGCUCGAGUGUGGAAGAGGGGGGUGGAAUUCCAGGUGUAGCAGUGAAAUGCGUAGAGAUCUGGAGGAACACCGAUGGCGAAGGCAGCCCCCUGGGCUAACACUGACGCUCAUGCACGAAAGCGUGGGGAGCAAACAGGAUUAGAUACCCUGGUAGUCCACGCCCUAAACGAUGUCAACUGGUUGUCGGGGAAGCAAUUCCUUGGUAACGAAGCUAACGCGUGAAGUUGACCGCCUGGGGAGUACGGCCGCAAGGUUA
rnacentral:rRNA from 1 species